CAGAAAUGGAGAUGGAGGAGAUUCAAACCCAACUCCAAAAUCCUGAACAAAUGGAUGAUGCUUCGAAUAUAGACAGUAUUGCAGAAAACCCUAACAGUCCUGCUUCCUCCGAUUCACCCGACGAUUCGGACGCCGACUCAGAGGACGAGUCGCACCACAAUGAUGAGCUUAAAACCUUGGAAGCCGAGCUCUCUACUAACCCCUCCAACUACUACGCUCAUGUCCAAUGCAUAAAGCUGUUGAGGAAAAUGGGCGAGAUAGAGAAGCUGAGACAAGCAAGGGAAGCCAUGAGCGCCGU
rnacentral:misc_RNA from 1 species